AGGGUUUGAUCAUGGCUCAGAACGUACGCUGGCGGCACGCCUAACACAUGCAAGUCGAACGAAGUAGCAAUACUUAGUGGCAGACGGGUGAGUAACAUGUGGGUAUCUGCCCUUUGGCCUGGAAUAACACGAGGAAACUUGUGCUAAUACCGGAUAAGUCUUUACGGAGAAAGCUUUAUGCACCAUUGGAUGAGCCCGCACUUGAUUAGUUUGUUGGUGGGGUAAUGGCCUACCAAGACUGUGAUCAAUAGCUGAUUUGAGAGGAUGAUCAGCCACAUUGGGACUGAGACACGGCCCAAACUCCUACGGGAGGCAGCAGUGGGGAAUCUUGCACAAUGGAGGAAACUCUGAUGCAGCGAUGCCGCGUGAGUGAAGAAGGCCUUUGGGUUGUAAAGCUCUUUCGUCGGGGAAGAAAAUGACUGUACCCGAAUAAGAAGGUCCGGCUAACUUCGUGCCAGCAGCCGCGGUAAUACGAAGGGACCUAGCGUAGUUCGGAAUUACUGGGCUUAAAGAGUUCGUAGGUGGUUGAAAAAGUUGGUGGUGAAAUCCCAGAGCUUAACUCUGGAACUGCCAUCAAAACUUUUCAGCUAGAGUAUGAUAGAGGAAAGCAGAAUUUCUAGUGUAGAGGUGAAAUUCGUAGAUAUUAGAAAGAAUACCAAUUGCGAAGGCAGCUUUCUGGAUCAUUACUGACACUGAGGAACGAAAGCAUGGGUAGCGAAGAGGAUUAGAUACCCUCGUAGUCCAUGCCGUAAACGAUGUGUGUUAGACGUUGGAAAUUUAUUUUCAGUGUCGCAGCGAAAGCGAUAAACACACCGCCUGGGGAGUACGACCGCAAGGUUAAAACUCAAAUGAAUUGACGGGGACCCGCACAAGUAGUGGAGCAUGUGGUUUAAUUCGAAGAUACGCGCAGAACCUUACCAACACUUGACAUGUUCGUCGCGACUUUAAGAGAUUAAAGUUUUCGGUUCGGCCGGACGAAACACAGGUGCUGCAUGGCUGUCGUCAGCUCGUGUCGUGAGAUGUUGGGUUAAGUCCCGCAACGAGCGCAACCCUCACUUUUAGUUGCCAUCAUUUAGUUGGGCACUCUGAAAGAACUGCCAGUGAUAAGCUGGAGGAAGGUGGGGAUGACGUCAAGUCCUCAUGGCCCUUACGUGUUGGGCUACACACGUGCUACAAUGGUAUCUACAACAGGAAGCAAAACGGCGACGUUAAGCAAAUCCUUAAAAGAUACCUCAGUUCGGAUUGCACUCUGCAACUCGAGUGCAUGAAGCUGGAAUUACUAGUAAUCGUGGAUCAGCGUGCCACGGUGAAUGCGUUCCCGGGUCUUGUACACACCGCCCGUCACACCAUGGGAGUUGGUUCUACCUUAAGGCAAGGUUUAAAACCCUUGACCACGGUAUAGUCAGCGACUGGGGUGAAGUCAUAACAAGGUAGCCGUA
rnacentral:rRNA from 1 species